rnacentral:tRNA from 1 species
GGGCGGUUAGCUCAGUCGGCUAGAGCGCUACGUUGACAUCGUAGAGGUCAGGGGUUCGAGCCCCUUACCGCCCA